ACUGUGGAUUUGAUGGUUAGGACUCUGUCAGUGAAGGAUACUUAUCUGGGCCCGGGGCUCAGGAAACUCAAAAGGGGAAGCUCCGGUUCCCACAGUGAAUUGCUUGCCAAGCCUUUGGUCAAUCUUGGCAGGCUGCCACCUCUGUCCUGCCCUGGUCUGACCCCUGGAGGCUGUGAGUGCUGGUACCCGCUGAGUGCUAGAUGGCAGGCAUGGCCAGGGGCCAGAGCCAUCUGAGACUUCAGUCAACUCGAGACACAAGUUGUAUAUCCCUAUGCUGCUGCUGCUGCUGCUGCUGCUAAGUCGCUUCAGUUGUGUCUGACUCUAUGCGACCCCAUAGACGGCAGCCCACCAGGCUCCCCCAUCCCUGGGAUUCUCCAGGCAAGAACACUGGAGUGGGUUGCCAUUUCCUUCUCCAAUGCAUGAAAGUGAAAAGUCAAAGUGAAGUCGCUCAGUCGUGUCCGACUCUCAGCGACCCCGUGGACUACAGCCUACCAGGCUCCUCUGUCCAUGGGAUUUUCCAGGCAAGAGUACUAGAGUGGGUUGCCAGUGCCUUCUCUGUAUAUCCCUAUAAUAC
ensembl:lncRNA